UUUAAGUUUCCUUUUUUAAACAUAAACUAUAUUUUAGGCUUUUUUAAGAUAAAUAUUAUUUGGAUUUUCUUUCACUCAUAUUUUUGGAUUUCAACUUAACAAAACAUAGGGCGUGUCUAUUUGACUCCACCUACCCACCCUACUGGAGUUCGAUCCCACUAAAUCGCGUUAUCCCGCAUAGUAGGGAUUGACUAUGGAUCGGACUUUGUCGAUCCAAAGAUAUCUAAGAAAUUCAGAAAAGAUUGUAUAAAAUUCAGAAACGAUUUUACGAAAUUCAUGAAAAAUGAGAAAUACAUGUUUUUUUUAAUUUACGUCGGCAUUAAAAACGUUGGACCGGCUCUGUGUUUCACCAAAGAAAUUGUUUCAGUUUAUGCAUGAUCUUCAACUUCCAUAUUCUUGUUUUCAAUUCUGGAAAUCCCUAACAGAUCGGAGCUCUCCUCAUUCAGUGAGUUGGAAGAUUGCAUGAUUAUAUAAUUACUCUUCACAUCCACAUAUAUUACAUUAUAUUCCCCUAUAAUUUCAUACAACCCU
rnacentral:sRNA from 1 species